GAGACAGAGCAAACAAGUUACCAGGAGCAGGACCAAAUAAUUCUUUGUAAUAAUCAGUAGCAUGAGCUAACAGCUGAAAAGUUCCUUCAAUAUUCACCUCACCAUUCUUAAGAUUAUGUAUAGUAUUCUUUCUUUUCCUUCCAUUGGCAAUCCUAUGGAAGUAUGCUGUAUUUUGAUUACCUUGCAAGAUCCAAUUGGAAUGGGAUCUCUAGAUCCAAACCAGUUCCUCAUCAGCAUAAAGAUCAUUCAAUUCAGCUUGAAUAGCCACCCUUCUACCAUACAUGUCAAGAGACAAAACAACAACUUCUUCCCAACUCUCAAUUCCAGCCAACUCUUCUUUCAGCUGGGCCCUUUUUUUUUUUUUUCCUAUUAUGACCAAAUAAACUAGAACCCCAACCCUUAAAGUAUUUCUUAAUUAUUUUCAAUUUGAUAUUGAGCACAUCAAUAUGAUCAAAAGCAAAAACAGGCAUGUUCCAAAGCUCACUCAUUUUAGGAAGAAAUUCCUCAUUUUUCAACCAAGCAAGGUCAAAAUGAAAAUGAUGUUUAAUGUUCAGAGGAACAUCAUCAUUAGACUGCACUAACAGAGGAUUAUGAUCAGAUUUAUCCCUUACUAAUUUAAGCACAGAAACCAUAGGAAACAACUCUUCUCAAUUAGGAGUCAUCAAAACCCUAUCCAAUUUUUCCAAAGUAGGAUCAGACUGGUUAUUUGACCAAGUAAAAGUACCACCAGCCAUGUAAAUCUCCCUUAAUCCCAAAGUGCAAAUGAUAAAAUUAAACAAGUCAGAGAAAUGUUUAGGAAUAAAAUUUUUGUUUUUCUCACCAGCAUGCUU
rnacentral:lncRNA from 1 species